UAAUGAUGUCAGUGACAUAGGAUUGUUGCCAAUUGCUGUUGUCUGUGAUCAGGGCACAGCAUUUCAAUCUGCCCUAAAUAGUCUACAAGAAGACACACGGAGAGAACAAUUGAUUAAAGGCCGAAAAAUUGAUAAUGUUAUCUCCCUCAAGGGACAUGCAAUCAGCAUAAUUUACGACCCACCAUCUCAUAAAGGGGUGAAGAAAUAAUUUUUUGACAAAAAAUAUAAAAUAUGAAAAUAAAAUUUCUAAAUGGGAUGAUAUUGUAGAUAUAUAUAAAACAGACUGCAACCACGUACAGAUAAGGCUGUUACACAAGUUAAAUGAUGAACAUGUGAUUCCAGAGAAAAUAAAAAAGAUGAAGGUA